UUACCAAUUGAGUGCGUCAGGACCACUUUUGGGGGCCACUCGUUAUUGAUUAUACCCCUCAUGUUCUCCUCUGCACCCCAUUGUAAUCUGAAGAGUGACUCAACAAUACCCCUCUCUCCAUCAAGCUAUACAAACUCGUCCCGUAUUGUUCCUCUUUUCAAAGAGUGUCUGGGUACACUUCAUGCCAACUACCACCCCAAAAAAGAGACUGAAUAGAUUUUAAGCUUUUUAUUCGUGUGAAGGUGAAGAAAAGUGAAUUAUAGAUUCAUUGGCGAGGAACCAUGGUCUAGUGUGGUUUGAGUGGAACUAGGGUUCACCUUGUGAGAAUCAAGCCAUUUUACAUCUAUGGAAAUUACUGGAGUUCACUUUCAAGAAAUCCUUUAAUGAAGGUAAAUUUAAAGUGGAGUACUUAUUAAGAAUCUGAUGUUACCUGGCCAGCUAGGUGAGGAUUUAACGAGGAGUUGCCAACUUUCAUUGAAAAAGCUGUUGGAGCGUCCUCCCUGGAAGGUUAAUCACGACACUUGCACAUGUUUGAUUGUGGAGGAAUCCGCAUGACAACCAUUGGAGAACGACCAUUAUAGAGCAUGAGAGUUUUGGGGGGCAACACGAUCUAGGUACAUGUAGCUGGCUAGAUUGGUUGAGUCACUCCGGCAGUUGAGAAGCUUUCCCUUGGUGCACAUUCAUCUCUGGGCGAUAUAAACCAUCAAACUUUGGGGUCAGAC
rnacentral:lncRNA from 1 species